rnacentral:rRNA from 1 species
GAUGAACGCUGACAGAAUGCUUAACACAUGCCAGUCCACUUGAAUUUGGGUUUUUAACUUAGGUUUGGGUGGCGGACGGGUGAGUAACGCGUAAAGAACUUGCCUCACAGCUAGGGACAACAUUUGGAAACGAAUGCUAAUACCUAAUAUUAUGAUAAUAGGGCAUCCUAUAAUUAUGAAAGCUAUAAGCGCUGUGAGAGAGCUUUGCGUCCCAUUAGCUAGUUGGAGAGGUAACGGCUCACCAAGGCGAUGAUGGGUAGCCGGCCUGAGAGGGUGAUCGGCCACAAGGGGACUGAGACACGGCCCUUACUCCUACGGGAGGCAGCAGUGGGGAAUAUUGGACAAUGGACCGAGAGUCUGAUCCAGCAAUUCUGUGUGCACGAUGAAGUUUUUCGGAAUGUAAAGUGCUUUCAGUUGGGAAGAAACAAAUGACGGUACCAACAGAAGAUGUGACGGCUAAAUACGUG